rnacentral:rRNA from 1 species
UGGGGAAUAUUGGACAAUGGACGAAAGCCUGAUCCAGCCAUGCCGCGUGAGUGAUGAAGGCCUUAGGGUUGUAAAGCUCUUCGACGGGGACGAUAAUGACGGUACCCGUAGAAGAAGCCCCGGCUAACUUCGUGCCAGCAGCCGCGGUAAUACGAAGGGGGCUAGCGUUGUUCGGAAUUACUGGGCGUAAAGCGUAUGUAGGCGGAUCGUUAAGUCGGGGUGAAAUCCCGAGGCUCAACCUCGGAACUGCCUUCGAUACUGGCGAUCUUCGAGUCCGGGAGAGGUGAGUGGAACUCCGAGUGUAGAGGUGAAAUUCGUAGAUAUUCGGAAGAACACCAGUGGCGAAGGCGGCUCACUGGCCCGGUACUGACGCUGAAAUACGAAAGCGUGGGGAGCAAACAGGAUUAGAUACCC